CCUACGGUAGGCAGCAGUGAGGAAUAUUGGUCAAUGGACGAGAGUCUGAACCAGCCAAGUCGCGUGAAGGAUGACUGACCUCUGGGUUGUAAACUUUUUCUAUAAAGGAAUAAAACGAGGCACGUGUGCAUUUUUGCAUGUACUUUAUGAAUAAGGAACGGCUAACUCCGCGCCAGCAGCCGCGGUAAUACGGAGGAUCCGAGCGUUAUCCGGAUUUAUUGGGUUUAAAGGGAGCGUAGAUGGGUUGGUAAGUCAGUUGUGAAAGUUUGCGGCUCAACCGUAAGAUUGCAAUUGAUACUGGCAGUCUGGAGUACAGUUGAGGUAAGCGGAACUCGUGGUGUAGCGGUGAAAUGCUUAGAUAUCACGAAGAACCCCGAUGGCGAAGGCAGCUUACUAAACGGUGACUGACAUUGAGGCUCGAAAGUGUGGGUAUCAAACAGGAAUAGAUACCCUAGUAGUC
rnacentral:rRNA from 1 species